rnacentral:misc_RNA from 1 species
ACACAGUAAUGCCCAGGGUACGCGAUUCAUCAUGCCAGGAAAUAUUUCGUUGCAGCCAAAAGGUGUUAAUCAAACGAUACAGUCGACCAAUUUCGGACAACCUAUUCAGGUUAUUGCUGCUGGCAAACCAUUUCAACCUGGGCAAUGGACACCACAUCUUCAAUUAACCGGCAACAAUAUGCUAAAGGGUCAUCAAAAUGAUAACAAUGCCAUACUUCAAUUUUUCAACAAUGCAAGGAAUAAUGGAUGUAUUCCAACAUCAAAUAAUCAGACGUUGGUCAUUACUGGACCGCUGAUCACAAAUCAAGCUGGAAAUUACAAUCAGCAAGGUCAACAAGGAAAGCCCAUUGAAAUGAAUAAGGCACAGCAGCAGCAACAACAACAGCAACAACAACAGCAACAACAACAGCAGCAGCAGCAGCAACAACAGCAACCAUAUUACCAAGUUGUGAUUGCUGGGAUGCCUCCAAAGUCCCCAGUCAUGACAUCUGCUGUUGGAAAUAAGGGCAACAUGGCCAGUACAGGUGUUAACGUCAGUCAGGCAACCAAUAUGUUGGCACAACCUCAGAUUGUCACUUCUCAAGCGAAUUCUGCACCCAUGCAACUUGGUGGUUCCAUGCAACCAAUGCAGAUCAUAAGUCAAAUGCAGGGUAACCAAAUGGGCCAGUCUUUAGGAUUUCAACUACCUCCAAACUUUUAUCAGUUUGGAGGUCAGCAAGGCCCCAUCAUUAUCAGACAACAUUGGCAACCCGACGGAAUGUUUUUCCAGACGGCACCUCAGCCAACUAUCGCUGCGCAACCGGCACUUCAACCAGUGCCUCCCCUUACUGCUGCCAUUAAACCUAGAGCAGAGACUCCAUCAAAAGCAAGCGGAACCCGCCCAUUAUCAACGAUAUUGCCUUCAUCAUCGGGAGCAUCGACAGCACCAACACUGAUUCGGCCAGCCUCGUCCAUGUCCAAUCAAACAUUUGCAGGCGGAGUGGUCACAAAUGCUCAAACUGGCAACCCUAGACCUGCCGGUAAGACCAAGAAAGUUGGACGGCCUCCACAAAAUCAACAGCGACCAGUGGCACCGUCAGUCGUGCAAGGCCAGCAAGCUCUUUUACAGCCGGUACAGCAGCAACAACAGCAACAACAACAACAACAUCAACAGCCGCAUAUUCAGUUCCAACAGCAACAACAGAAUCAACAACUGCAUGCCGUAUCUCAGCAACUCAUUGCUCAACAUUUAAGAAAUUCUGUUGAUUGUUGCCUAUAUGUUAAACCAUGUUAAAGCAUCGAUCCAAUAGUUUCAGAUGCAGCAGCAUCUGUUCCAAAUUCAGCAGUAUCAACAGUAACAACAGCCGACACUAAUGUCACUUCCGGCUUUCCAGCAAGUGGCUCAGCAAACGCUGGAUACCAAUCAACAAGCCCAACUGCAGCAAGCUAUCGUUUUGGAUACCCAUCGUUGGCCUUCACAUCGGAGGGCGGAAAUAGGCGCGGCGAUCUUGGAUUCAGUGGUUGUGUUUUUUCUUUUUUUCAAAGUGAAUGCUGUGAGUGCGUGAGUGUGUGUGUGAGUGCAAAGUGAAAACACUGUGUGUUUCCGACAACAACAACAAUCUAAAGAAAUGGUGAAGAAGAACUCUGUUUUUUUUUCUGAUAAGGUAACUUAAGUAACGUUCGUUAUUUGUACAUACCUGAUUGACAUACUCGGAUGACGUGUUGGCAGAAUUUCAGUUGCCGGUGGCUUGAACGUCAUCGAGGAAGGGUUGAAAUGAAUUUCGUAAGGGAACCUUCGGAAUCGAUGAAAAUGGCUCCUGCAAUCGACUCGAAAGUACGUCUGGCACCUUAAUGCAUCGUGCUGCUAUUGGACACUGAG